rnacentral:rRNA from 1 species
AUUGAACGCUGGCGGCAUGCCUUACACAUGCAAGUCGAACGGUAACAGGUCUCCGGAUGCUGACGAGUGGCGAACGGGUGAGUAAUACAUCGGAACGUGCCUAGUAGUGGGGGAUAACUACUCGAAAGAGUGGCUAAUACCGCAUGAGACCUACGGAUGAAAGCAGGGGAUCGCAAGACCUUGUGCUACUAGCGCGGCCGAUGGCAGAUUAGGUAGUUGGUGGGAUAAAAGCUUACCAAGCCGACGAUCUGUAGCUGGUCUGAGAGGACGACCAGCCACACUGGGACUGAGACACGGCCCAGACUCCUACGGGAGGCAGCAGUGGGGAAUUUUGGACAAUGGGCGCAAGCCUGAUCCAGCAAUGCCGCGUGCAGGAUGAAGGCCUUCGGGUUGUAAACUGCUUUUGUACGGAACGAAAAGCCCUGGGUUAAUACCCUGGGGUCAUGACGGUACCGUAAGAAUAAGCACCGGCUAACUACGUGCCAGCAGCCGCCGUAA